ACAGUACUGAAUGGAUCUCCUCUUGCAAGCUUAAGUUUAUUUUUGAAAGUGGUAUUUGAGAAGAGUGAACUUAUUAGCUCAUUAUGCAUUCCUGUUCUUCGGAUAACUUGCAGGAAAGGCCCCCAUUAGGUUGAAGCAAUUUCGUCUGCUAUUUGGAUGAGUCAGAGGUAUCUAUUUAAAAACUGCACAACCUAAACGUUCCUGUACUUUCAGAAUCCAUGUACCUUUGUAGCAUGAAUUUGUGUUGUUGCUUGGUACUUUUGAGUUUGAUCUGGUAUACGACUUACCGCAGAUUUUGAUGUUACCACUGAUGUGUUGUAGAGUACUGAUUAUCUCAUUCCUAUUGGUAAGCCUGUGGUACUAUCUGGCGGCAAUCCUCCAAGAAGAUUGACAAAUGCUGCAGGUAUCAUCGCCUACAGAGUUUAAACCAUGUAUUUGAUUGUUUUGUAUGAUGAUGUUACCGGUGUAUUCAAUCCGUGUUGGUAACCUGCUGCAGGUUUUGGUUGCAUUUACCCUGAACAUUGUUUAGAUGGCAUGUUCAUGUUUUAAUUUUAUGUUAUGCAUUUCUAGAUUAUGCUGCAGUAGAAAGCAAUUUAGCCGACGACUGUCGUGGGCCCUGCCCUUGAUUAAUAAUCCAACUCAAUUGCAGCUAAAUUUCCAACAGAUGUGCCCUCCACAAUGCUCACUUGACUAGCUGGAUUGGGCAUGGGGGAACCAAAUGGUGGUUCUGAUGAUUUCCACUCAGAAAACGCGGUAUGAGCAAUUGCUAACACACUAAUUAAAUCCAUAGAUCCUUGAGAUAUUGAGGUGCUUGUACUAACUUGAGAAGCACUAUUUCCAGGACCUUGAUCAAUUUUAAGUGAAUCAGGUUAAGAUGCAUUUAAUAACUCAAAAUGCACCUGCAGUUGGUGAUGGUUGGGAGCAACGGCAGCAGGCUGUGCUGGUGUAGCUAUAUGACCUGAAAUAUACGGGGAAACCGGUGGCUUGGGUGGUUCGCUUGGAUCUAUACCAGAUCCAAAACAUAAAGCUUGCCCCUGCAUCAUUUGUGUGUUUUGAUUAACUUUCUCAACAGGUUGGCUUCCUGAAGCAGUUGCCUUUCCUUUGCCAAUCGGAUUGCAUAUGCCUGUUGUGAAUUUGAGGCAUGGUUUUGUAUAUGAUGUACUGAUGCUUAGGUCAUGUACUUUGGUCAUUGUAUUGUGUAUGUCAGCAUGUGAGUUGGUUUUUGGUUGUAAUGAGAAUGGACAAGGUUUAUGUGUUUUGGUUAUAAUAAUUUAUGUAAUGACAGUUUGGCUUUUGAAAUGAACAUGGUU
rnacentral:lncRNA from 1 species